UGGGAGGCGGAGCUUGCAGUGAGCCGAGAUCGCACCACUGCACUCCAGUCUGGGCGACAGAGCGAGACUCCAUCUCAAAAAAAAAAUUAAUAUCUUUUUGUUUCAAAUUGAAGAACCCCUGUUAGCCUUUCUUGUAACGACAGGUCUACUGAUGAUGAACUCCCUUAGUUUUUGUUUGUGUUGGGAAGUUUUGAUCUCCCCUUCAUUACUGAGGGACAGCUUUGCCAGGAUAGUAUUCUUGGUUGGCAGGGCUUUCUUUUGCUUUUGGCAUUUUGAAUAUAUCCCACUCUCUUCAGGCCUACAAAGUUUCUGCUGAGAAAUCUGCUGAUAGUCUUAUGCAGGGAUAAGGGGGGAUUUUUUGAAAAGAGUUGCUUUUCUCUUGCUGCUGUCAAAAUUAUCUCUAGCUUUGACUUUUGGCAGUUUGAUUAUAAUGUGUCUUGGUGAAGACUUCUUUAUGCUCAAUUUAUUUGGGGUUCUUUGGGCUUCAUGGAUCUGGAUGAUCAUUUUCUUCUCUAGUUUUGGGAAGUUUCCUGUCAUUAUUUUUUUUUAAUAAGGUUUUUGCCCCUUUCCCUUUCUCUGCUUCAUCUGGGACUCCCAGAAUAUGUAUACUGUUUUGCUUGAUGAUAUUCCCAAUUCCCAUAGGCUUUCUUCACUCUUUUUCAUUCUUUUUUUCUUUUUGUUACUCUGCCUGGAUAAUUUCCAAUGAUCUAUCUUUGAGUUUGUAUUUUUAAAAGUCAGGGCCUUACUCUCUCACCCUUGCUGGGGUGCAGUGGCACAGUCGGGGAUCACUGCACCCUUGACCUCCCAGGCUCAAAUGAUUCUCCCACCUCAGCCUCCCACAUAGCUGGGACUAAAGGCUGUGCCACCAUGCCCAGCUAAUUUUUGUACUUUUUGUAGAAACAGGGUUUUUGCCAUGUUGCCCAGGCUGGUCUCAAAUUUCUGAACUCAAGUGAUCCUCCCACCUUGGCCCCCCAAAAGUGUUGAGAUUAUAGGCAUGAGCCACCACCCCUGGCCGAGUUCAUUAAUUAUUUUUUCCACUUCAUCACAUCUUCUAUUGAAGCUCUCUAUUGAAUACAAUGUCUGACAUUGUAUUCUUCAGCUCCAGAAUUUGUUUGGUCCUCUUUUAUAGUUUCUUCCUCUUUAUAACUUUGCAUUUUGUUCAUGUAUCGUUUUCCUGGAUUUCGCUUAGUCAUCUAUCUGUGUCCUCUUGAAGGUCACUGAGCUUCUUUAAGAUGAUUACUUUAGGCCAGGCAUGGUGGCUUGUGCUUGCAAUCCCAGCACUUUGGGAGGCCAAGGCAGGAGGAUUGCUUGACGCCAGGAGUUUGAAACCAGCCUAGGCAACAUAGUGAGACUUGUCUCGACAAAGAAAAAAAAAAAAAAAUUAAAGAUGAUUAUUUUUGAAUCCUUUGUCAGAGAGUUUGUAAGUCCCUUUUUUCUUUCUUUUCUUUUCUUUUUUUUUUUUUUUUUUUUUUUUUUUUUUUUUUUUUUUUUUUUGAGAUGGAGUCUUGCUCUGUCACCUAGACUGGAGUGCAGUGGCGCAAUCUCGGCUCACUGCAACCUCUACUUCCCAGGUUCAAGUGAUUCUCCUACCUCAGCCUCCUGAGUAGCUGGUAUUACAGGCGUGCACCAUCACGCCCGGCUAAUUUUUGUGUUUUCAGUAGAGAUGGGGUUUCACCAUGUUGGUCAGGCUGGUCUCGAACUCCUGACCUUGUGAUCUGCCUGCCUUGGCCUCCCAAAGUGUUGGGAUUACAGGUGUAAGCCACUGAGCCUGGCCAUUAAGUCCCCAUUUCUUUGGGGUCAACUAUUAGAGCUUUAUUUUGUUGCUUUAAAGGUGUCAUAUUUCCUUGAUUCUUUGUAUAUAUAUAUUUUUGAAGACUUGCGCUGCUAUCUUCACAUUUGAAGAAGCGGUCACCUCCUUUAGUCUUACUUGUUUCUUAUUAAAAUUUUUUUAAUGUUUUUUUUUAAGAGAUGGGAUCUCACUAUGUUGCCCAGGGUGGUCUCAAACUCCUGGCCUCAAGUGAUCCUCCCACCUCAGCCUCCCAAAGUGCUGAGAUUACAGGUGUAAGCUACCAUGCCUGGCUGUCCCCCAGUCUUUGUUGACUGGCUUUGGGAGAGAAAGACCUUCAUCAGUCAUCCUAGCUAAGGAUUUGAGGGAUCGCUCAGAUCUUUUCUGUAGAUACACCCACUCUACUCCUGUUGCUCCCUCUUAGGGAGAGAAGUCUUAGGUUGUAAGCUCCUCUCAAUCCUCCAAAGCUGGGUCUACACUGAGCACCUCCCAUUUUCCCUAAUGCAGUGCUCUGAAGCAUUCAAGGUUGGGCACCUUCUCCCAGUCCAGCAGAGUCAAGCCGGCUGCUCAGAUUUGCAUCUGCCGUUGAGAUCUGUGUACUGUUUGGGAGGAGGGUGCAUGAGACACCAUAUGCUCAGGGGUACGUGGAGUGCUGGGGGCAUGGAUCAGUUGGUUGGGGGGCCCACAGGCAAGUUGUUCUGUGGGUUCAUGGGCGGGCCUCCUGGUGGAGUGUUAGCUGGUUAGUGGGAUCCAUGGCUGGCUGUUGGUUGCUAGGCAUGUCCUUCCCUUCUCCUAGCAGUCCCCAGGUGACUCAGCCAUGCUGAUUCCUCAGUGUUCUGGGGAGAGACACAGGUGGGCUAUUGGGCAGCAUCCUAUAAGGUUGGGGAAGCUGGUGCUCACUCAGCACUCAGUUUCCCCUGUGGGAGAAACCACAGGCCCAGGGGGGCCUCAUUGGAGGAGCACUAGCACAGGUAAACUGAACCUUCUUAGCCUCUUCGGUGUGCUCUCUUUGCCCUGUGGGGUGCUAGAACCUCUCAGUGUUUCUGUGGGGGCAUGAGGGCUGGAACCUCCUAUUCUGUCACCUUCCUGGCCUCUUCCUACAAUUAUUUUUAUGCUCAAAUUGCCCCCGAUUUGGACAGGGGGAGAGCCUUCAGGCUGCUCCUCCAGCCCUCUCACAUGUCCCCAACGUUGUUCAGCAUUUCCUUAUUUUCCAGCACUAGACAUUCUAAGGCUCACCCUGUACUCUCUCUGCUCUUCCCUGGAAAUAGUCAUUUCUCCAAAGAGUUCUGUUCCCUUGGAAUAGAGAAUGGUAUUUACAAACCAAGAAAUGGAUUUCAGGUGUGCCAGUUGUUUCUGGGGUGGCAUUGCUUCUAGGCCCCUUCGGUGGACAGAGCUGGGAAAGAAACUGUGUGUAUCAUAUAUAUCUGCACACGUAAGCUGUGUGUGUAUCAUAUAUAAUACAUCUGCACAUAUAAACUGUGUAUGUAUCAUAUAUAAUACAUCUGCACUUAUAAACUGUGUAUGUAUCAUAUAUUAAUACAUCUGCACAUAUAAACUAUCAUCUGUACAUAUAAACUGUAUAUCAUAUAUAUCUGCACAUAUAAACAGUAUCAUAUAAUACAUCUGCACAUGUAAACUGUAUCAUAUCUGCACAUAUAAACUGUAUAUCAUAUAUAUCUGCACAUAUAAACUAUCAUAUAUAAUACAUCUGCACAUACAAACUAUCAUAUCUGCACAUAUAAACUAUAUCAUAUAUAUCUGCACAUAUAAACUAUCAUAUAUAAUACAUCUGCACAUACAAACUAUGUAUCAUAUAUAAUACAUCUGCACUUAUAAACUCUGUGUAUCAUACAUAAUACAUCUGCACAUAUAAACUAUCAUAUCUGUACAUAUAAACUGUGUAUAUCAUAUAUAUCUGCACAUAUAAACUGUAUCAUAUAUAAUACAUCUGCACAUAUAAACUGUGUAUCAUAUAUAAUACAUCUGCACUUAUAAACUGUGUCAUAUAUCUGCACAUAUAAACUAUCAUAUAAUACAUCUGCAUAUAUAAACUAUCAUAUAUACAUCUGCACAUAUAAACUAUAUCAUAUAUCUGCACAUAUAAACUGUGUGUAUCAUAUAUAAUACAUCUGCACAUAUAAACUGUGUGUAUCAUAUAUAUCCGCACAUAUAAACUGUGUGUGUAUCAUAUAUAUCUGCACAUAUAAACUGUGUGUGUAUCAUAUAUAAUACAUCUGCACACAUGCUUCUCUGUAUUGAAAACCAAAUUGUCACGGACCACUCCCAUUCUCACGCAGCAUUUAGGGCUGUGGCUAGCCUUUCCCAGCUGUAAGAAACCUGUCUUUCAGCAUGAUAAACACAUUUACUUAUUUGCUCAGUCCUCUAAUAUGCAGAAAGUAGUUUUAGAAUUGCCAAAACCAUACAACUUGGAAAAACAAGCAUGAUUACUUCAAGAUGUGUUUGUAGCUCCUUCUGUCCUGGCAUUGGACGUGGAGAGAAAGCACAGACUGUUCCAAGUUUCAUUUUUCCCCUUCUCUGAAACGCAGAGAGCGUUGUUUGUUUCUGUUUGUAUUUCAUUUGGGUCCUCCCUCUAGCCUUAUUCAUAAAUUUGUAAAUGAUCUUUAACAAUCUGUUAUAUUUAUGAUGUUUUACUGCGUGCUGCCUGUGAAAAUGUUUCCUUCUUCUGACACGUUCCAGAACAACUAGGCUUUUAAAUUCCAAAUAUUCCUGUUUCACAAUAAACCAGAUGAGGGCCUCUGUUGUGCCACAGCUUUUGGAAUGUGGUUUAUUACCAAUAGAAGUGGCUGCGUGGCUUGUUAUGGUUUCAAUUACACGUGAGUAACAACCGGGGCCCUUCUGUGUCAGGUGCUGCUGAUCAAGGCUGGCUAAUGGGGACCUCGCUGUCCAGAACGGGCGUUUCCCAUGGCCCGGCCCAGCUGUUUACCACUUCUGUCUACCAUUUCAGAGGGGCUUUGCGGAGAUUAAAUGAGGUGAAGCGCUCUGAGAACCUCAGUCCUAAAGAAUAGCAGUUAUACUGGUUUUUGUAUUAUAUUUAUAUAUUCUUCUUGUUAAUAUACUGGUUUUAAUGUUCAUCGUUCUCUUGGGAUCCCAUGACAGUGAGCCUGGUGUACCUGAGGUCUGGGAUACUCACACCUCUCCCCAGUCCCAUGCUCCCCACUGUGGCAGUGCCUGUCAGGGACCCUGCUGACCCCAGGAAGCCUCGGUGUCCCCAGCGCUGGCUCUGCUCACACAGGCAGCAGGCUUAGUGUUCUCUGGCCUGGCUGCACUGACUGGACCAGGGACAGGGGAAGGGCCCCAAAGCACCCUGUUCCAGGCAGCCGGCCAGUCGUGGCCGAGGAGCUCCAUUCAACAGUGGCACCCAGAGGGGCCAGGGUCUCAUAAAGCUGGUCAGACGCCCCCUCUGGGUAGGGGUGUAGGAAGCGGCUGUGCAGCCGGGUCCCAGGUAGGGAGGCAUAGAGUGAAGGCUGUGAGCAGGAGCCCUGGGGCGGAGGGCCAGGAGAAGGCUGGGCACAGGUCCAUCGGUGGCAGCUGGGUGGGCAGAGCAGAGAGGCUGCAUCUGCACGACGGCAGGGCCCUGGUGUGGGAACAGCAGACGGGGCCCCUGGGUGCGGCGCCUCCUUCCCACAUCCCUGCUGCUCCUGCAUCUGCUGCUGGAGAAGACCACGACGUGCUCAGACCCCGGCACUGGAGAACUCCAGAUGUGGUGAGGGCUGCACGUUAGCUGCAUACGCACAUCUGGAAGGUGAGGCAGACGUGCCCACCGCCUCCAUGCCUGGCCCACAGUUGUGGGCAUGCAGAGCUCCUCUGUGGCAGGCCCAGGCUGCACCAGCUGCCUGGAGAGGCACUGGGGGCGGGGCCUCACUUGAGGGGCAGAUUCUCCCACCCAGCCAGUCCAGGCCCAGCGGCUGGAGCAUCCCGUCCAGCAAAUUGUCCUGCAAGUUGCCCUGGAGACCCAGCGUCUCUCAUCACGUCUCACUCCCCUGCCAGAUGCCUCUGCGGCAAUAACGAGAGUGGCUCUGCCUUCUGCACUGAAUGCCGACAGGUGACCAGAACAUGACACUGGGGUUAUGCAGUGCCCUGGUUGAUAUUCUAGUUCAUCAGGGAGCUUCUGGAAUGAUUUUUUUUUUCUUUUUUUUUUUUUUUUGAGACAGAGUCUCUCUCUGUCGCCCAGGCUGGAGUGCAAUGGAGCAAUCUUGGCUCACCACAACCUCUGCCUCCGGGGUUCAAGUGAUUCUCCUGUCUGAGCCUCCUGAGUAGCUGGGAUUACAGGUGUCCACCACUAUCACUCAGUUAAUUUUUAUAUUUUUAGUAGAGAUGGGGUUUCACCAUGUUGCCUGGGCUGGUCUCAAACUCCUGACCUCAGGUGAUCUGCCUCCUCAGCCUCCCAAAGUGCUGGGAUUACAGGCAUGAGCCACCUCACCCAGCCAACUUUCUUUUGCUUCACUUUUCCUCUGGUUGCCCCAUCUUUAUUGUCAAGUCCUGUUAAGAGGAACAACAUUAAAAUGAGAGCUUUCAUGGCAAAAAGGUUGCUGUGGGUUGAGCUUGCAAUGUUAGCUGCGUGUUAGGAUUCAGCUGACAUCUGUCUCUGGAGUCUCGCCCUUUCUGUAAUUCGCUUUUGACUGUAAUAAAUGUUGUACAGGCCAGGUGCAGUGACUCACACCUGUAAUCCCAGCACUUUGCAAGGCCAAGGCAGGUGGACCACGAGGUCAGGAGAUCGAGAUCAUCCUGGCUAACACGGUGAAACCCCGUCUCCACUGAAAAUACAGAAAAUUAGCUGGGUGUGGUGGCACCUGCCUGUGGUCCCAGCUAUU
rnacentral:lncRNA from 10 species